UUUGUUAUAAACACAACCUGUUUGCCACCCGUCCCGUGAGUUUUAACAACAAGUGAUUAGAUUGUUCUGCCACCAAACAAACAAAAUGCCAGAUAACUUAGAUACGGAACAGUUUAACGCCGACGAGUUGGAGGCCCCAGAGUGGCUGAAUGCUACGUAUUUGCAAAACAUUCUGAGCACGUAUGAAAGUGCACCAGAAUUGAAGGUAACCGAUCUGAAAAUAUCCCCAGCGAGCGCCCAGGGAGAUCACUAUGCCAGUGUUAUGUUCCGCACCCAAGUGGAAUACACAACCGGGAAGGGCGUGUUCAACAAGGCACUGAUCGUCAAGACAAUGCCCGAGGAGGAGGGACACAAAAAGGAAAUGCUGAGUGAAACCCAUCUGUUUGAAACAGAGAUCGGAAUGUACUCCAAGGUUCUACCAGAGUUCGAGAGGAUAUUGCAGCAGGCGGGCGAUAAUACAAAGUUGUAUGUACCGUGCAUCUUCCAUAGCGUCGAACCACGUCAGGUAAUGAUCUUCGAUGAUCUCGUGCCGUUGGGAUAUACUGUCAUACGCGGUCGUUCGGUUAGGGAGGAGGAAGUGCGCUCUGCCCUUUCCAAAUUGGCCAAAUGGAACGCCGUCAGCAUGAAAGUUAACAAUGAGAAUCCCGAGUUUAUCAAGGAAUUUAAGUAUGGUUUGUUCGAUUUACCCACUCUGUUGAAAGAUCCAAUGGUAACCACCGGCAUGGCCAAUUUCAUUGAAAUGCUUGACAAGGUACCUGAUCUCAAGAAGUACAAGCCGCACUUUGAGAAAAUAAAGGACUCUUAUCUGGAGCGCACUCGUGCCGUGAUGGAGGAGUAUCGCGCAGACCCCCAAUCUGAUGGAUAUUAUGUGCUUUGCCACGGAGACUUCCAUCUGCGUAACAUGAUGUUCAAGCACAACAAGGAGACAGGGGUCUUUGAGGAUGUGAUGUUGGUGGAUUUCCAGAUCUGUAAUAUAGUCCCCUUAAGCCUUGACUUGAUCUACUCCAUAUAUAUGCUGAUGGAGCCAGAGGAACGCUGGAACCAUGGAAAGGAUAUGAUCAACUAUUUCUUCAACGUUUUGGUGGAUACACUCAAGAAAAUUGGAUACAAAGGCGCCAUGCCCACCCAGGAAAAGCUCUGGCAGCAGAUCCAUCGCCACAAAUUCUACGACUUCUUCUUGCUUACCACUUUUCUGCCCAUGAUAUUGGCCAUCAAAUCGAAUACCCUUAAGAUGCAUGACAUUAUUCAAGAUGCGACAACGCGGCAGAAGGCUUACCUCAUAGAUUCCUACAUUGCAGAAGUAAAGAAACUGUUGCCCCAAUUUGAGAAAAUGGGUUAUUUUAAGGAUCUUUAAGGCACACAAAGCAACGAGCACAUCUGGUUCUGAUCUAUGUCUUUCGAGUCUCUAUAGAUUACGAGUACUUAAUUUCUUUGAGCACCGUCAAUACGACUCUCAACUGUUUGUUAUCUCUAUAAUGCACUGUUAACUUAAAUUAUCUUAUCGCGGGCUUUUGUGUGUAACCGUAAACAUUUUAAAAUAUAUUUUAACAGAUUUGGACAGUUAUUUGUACAACA